AGAGAGAGAGAGAGAGAGAGAGAGAGAGAGAGAGAGAGAGAGAGAGAGAGAGAGAGAGAGAGAGAGAGAGAGAGAGAGAGAGAGAGAGAGAGAGAGAGAGAGAGAGAGAGAGAGAGAGAGAGAGAGAGAGACAGAGAGAGACAGAGAGAGAGAGGGAGUGUCAAACCUUUGAAAGGACGAGGGAGGAAAAAGACGAGUGACAUCUGACGUCUUGUCUUUUUUCUUAUUUGAAAGACCACUACUUCAUCCCGUGGAGCCUGAGUCCAUUUAUAAAGAACACAGUCCUUUCCGCCUGACUCACCUUCUCUUGUCUGCUUAUCUCUGUUUCUGUUUCGGGACCAGGCGGAGAUGAGCUGCAUCCCUGCCACACACAGUACGGUUCCUGUCGUAAAUCCAGCAGUGACCAAAAUGGAGGAGAUGCCAAGGAGGGGGAGCAGAGUGUACCAGCUCUUCCCAGAAUCCCCGGCGCUCACUGACUCGGACAGCGGCUCGUUCUCGGAGGAGAUGAACUACCACCGGGAGCGGCUGCCCUCCAUCGUGCUGGAGCCCACCGAGCAGAGCGAAGGGGAGGGGGAGGAGGAGGGCGCCCGCGACGGAGGGGAGAACACCCAGGAGGGGGACGCCUGCGGAGAUCAGGAGACAGGGGAGAGGCAGAAGGAGAUGGAGAGCUCUUCCGCUAGAAAGAGUUCCAUUGGUAGCUCUUCCACUAGAAAGAGUUCCAUUGGUCCGGUCCAGGAUCCGAUGUCCUCCUCUCGUCUGACUCCGCCCCCUUCACCCACGUCCCCCGAGACCGCCCCGCCCUGCCUGAGAAGUUAGAGGGAGGUGAGGCCGGAGGAGAAUGAUGACAUCAGUGUUCUGACAUCACUGCCCCUUCAUGGACUCUGUAUAGCCUUUGAAAUGUUGGAAGUGAUGUGGGGGGGAAGGAAAGGCUCAAGGCAGGUGUAAAUAUAAUGACCAAAUGUCUAAAUAGAAAUUUUAAAGAAAAAGUCCUUGUGGGGAUGUCUUGUAUAUAUUGUACACAAACACACACGCACAGACACACACAGAGACACACACACACACGCACAGACACACACACACACACACACACACAUAAAAACAGAGAGACAAACGCACACAGACGCACAGACACGCAGAGACACAAACACACACUCAGACACACACACACACACACACACACACACACACACACACACACACACACACACACACACACACACACACACACACACACACACACACACACACACACACACACACACACAAACACACACACGGCACGCACUGAUCACACACACAAACAGACACACAUAAGCACAUAAUUUUUUUAACUACAUUGUUGCUUUCUGACAAGAUGGAAAGAGGCUGUCACUACAAACCGACUUUCCAUUUAUUUAAUUAUUUAUUUUUCCCUCGUGACGCAAAUCCCAGACCUCACCAUCGGAGCACUUUGAAUGUCACAGCCUCGGUUUACCCAACAGCUCCAUGUCCCUCUCUGGUACGCCACCAUGUUGUUGCUGUUACUGAGGCAAUGGUCCACUCCAGCGAUGUCAUGGAGCACGGUGGAUGACACAAUAGGUGCUCAACAGAUCCACUCUCAGCUGCGGCAUUCGUGUUUUUAGUUGUUUUCUUUUUCUACAGUAGGUACAGGUCAGGUAGUAUUAUUGUAUUGUAUGGUGUGAUGUGCUAGUGUGCCGAGAGUAUGUAUUUAAAGUGAACAUUUUCCUUGAUGGUCAUUUCAUGAGGGACAAAUUAGGAAAAUUGCAAGGGUAUUAGCUGGUGUGUGGUGAGCGUUCUGGUGCAUAUUGGCUGCCGUGCAUCACCCAAGUGGGUGCUUCACACUGGUGGUGGUGAGUGAGGUCCCCCCCUUCACUGUAAAGCGUCUUUGAGAGUCUAGAAAAGCGCUAUAUAAAUUCAAUCAAUUAUUAUUAUUAUUAUUAUUAUUAUUAUUAUUAAUACUAUUAUUAAACAAAAACUAUUAAUGAACACUUGUAUUCCUUAUCUAUUACUAUACAUAUAUAGAGAGAUUUCCCUGCCAGUACAGCUACAGGUAAAACCUCUCUUUCCACCACCAUGCACAGACAUUCAUACUUUGGUGGUGGUGUUAUUUACACAAGACAAAAACGUGUCCUCAAAGGCAGAUGACCCUACAGCUGCAAGAUGAUCUAGUCUACCUUCUGAUCUGCACACAGGACCCAUCAGCACCACGUAACUCUUUUGUUGUUAUAUUUUUCCUUUGAGGGUCAUGUGUAGGGUUCAGGUCAUGUAUAGGAGACCUUUUUAAGGCAACAUGUUUAUGAUGAAUAUAUUUGGAACUUUAAUUAUGCCGCUGCACUUUAACCCCUCUCUGUUAAAAAUGUUUAAAUAAAAUUAAAAGCAAAUGUGUUUCAAACUGAACAUGUCUCCGCAUCGCAUAUCUUUUCAAAACUAUAAGUUUUCUUCUUUUAAGUCUUUUUGGAUAAUUAAAACAUCGAAAUCUGAGGUAUGAUUAUUUAUUUAUUUUAAGGCGAGACACGGCAGGCAAAAUCAUCGAUUUUUCAGUCACUGGUCAAUUUUGAUAUUUUGGGCUAUUUUGCACCAUUAACAUGUAAUGUUUCGCACAAAAGAAAAAAAAAAGUCAAAACGAAAC
ensembl:lncRNA